UACGGGGGGGGCAAGCGUUGUUCGGAAUUACUGGGCGUAAAGAGCUCGUAGGCGGUUCAGUAAGUCAGGUGUGAAAGCUCCGAGCUCAACUCGGAGAGGCCACCUGAUACUGCUGUGACUAGAAUCCAGUAGGGGGGUGUGGAACUCCUGGUGUAGCGGUGAAAUGCGCAGAUAUCUGGAGGAACACCGGUGGCGAAGGCGGCAUCCUGGACCAUUACUGACGCCGAGGAGCGAAAGCCAGGGGAGCAAACGGG
rnacentral:rRNA from 1 species